UACGUAGGGUGCAAGCGUUGUCCGGAAUUAUUGGGCGUAAAGAGCUCGUAGGCGGUUCGUCGCGUCGGCUGUGAAAUCCCGAGGCUCAACCUCGGGUCUGCAGUCGAUACGGGCGGACUGGAGUUCGGCAGGGGAGACUGGAAUUCCUGGUGUAGCGGUGAAAUGCGCAGAUAUCAGGAAGAACACCCGUGGCUAAGGCGGCUCUCUAGUACGGUACUGACGCUGAGACGCGAAAGCGUGGGGAGCGAACAGG
rnacentral:rRNA from 1 species